GUGGAUGGUGGGGGCUGGGGGAAAGCUGGCUCCCACUGCGCACGCGUCUCCUCGCCCUUCCUCCCCUCCCCAACCAGCCGUCGUCUGCGAGUGCGGGCGGGAGGGCUCGUUUUACUUUCGGCCGCGAUCGCGUUUUGUUUUUUUUAAAAAGCUGCCCGACCGCUUCUCGUUCUCUCACCGCCCCCCCCACUCCAACUCACUACAAGGCGGUGAAGAUCGAGAGAGGAGGGAGAGGGAACAAAGAGCGAGAUGCGGGAAAGAUGGGUCGUUGACGCCGCCGAAAGUCGCGGGCGGCUGGGAGGAGUCGCCCAGGUCGGGCCUCCCGUCAGCAGCAGUAGCAGAUGCCGCCGCCUGGAAGUGAACACGGGAGAUCAUAGCAACUUUUGCCGGGCUGGGGAAUCCUGUGUGACAAUCUGACAGCCAAGACAGGGGCUGAAACCAGCGGAGAUCUCGCUGGGCCCACUUUCCUAUUUGCCCUGCAUCUUCCAGGACCUUAUUUUUACACCUUGAAGUGGCACUUGGAGUACAAGAACAAAGAAGUUCUGUUAAACUUGUGUGCAAUCAUCCUGAAGCACUUCAAAGCCAAUGAAGUAAGAUCACCUUUUGUUGUGGAAAAACAGAACAUCUAUUUUAUACACGGCAGGAUCCCAUGAACAACUGCAGCACCAGUGAUUACAUUUAUGUCUUUUUUAAGAAACAGUGGAAUUUAAAAAUUACAGUUAAACUAAAUGUUUUAAAUAAACAUAAAAUGGUCUGUGC